rnacentral:rRNA from 1 species
AUUGAACGCUGGCGGCAGGCCUAACACAUGCAAGUCGAGCGGUAGAGAGGAGCUUGCUUCUCUUGAGAGCGGCGGACGGGUGAGUAAUGCCUAGGAAUCUGCCUGGUAGUGGGGGAUAACGUUCGGAAACGGACGCUAAUACCGCAUACGUCCUACGGGAGAAAGUGGGGGAUCUUCGGACCUCACGCUAUCAGAUGAGCCUAGGUCGGAUUAGCUAGUUGGUGAGGUAAAGGCUCACCAAGGCGACGAUCCGUAACUGGUCUGAGAGGAUGAUCAGUCACACUGGAACUGAGACACGGUCCAGACUCCUACGGGAGGCAGCAGUGGGGAAUAUUGGACAAUGGGCGCAAGCCUGAUCCAGCCAUGCCGCGUGUGUGAAGAAGGUCUUCGGAUUGUAAAGCACUUUAAGUUGGGAGGAAGGUCAGUAGCUUAAUACGUUGCUGAUUUGACGUUACCGACAGAAUAAGCACCGGCUAACUCUGUGCCAGCCGCCGCGGUAA